rnacentral:tRNA from 1 species
GCCGAAGUGGCGGAACCGGCAGACGCACUUGACUCAAAAUCAAGCGGAGCUCGCUCCAUGUGGGUUCGAGUCCCACCUUCGGCACCA